rnacentral:rRNA from 1 species
GACGAACGCUGGCGGCGUGCUUAACACAUGCAAGUCGAACGGAAAGGCCUCUUUCGGGGGGUACUCGAGUGGCGAACGGGUGAGUAACACGUGAGUAACCUGCCCUUGACUUUGGGAUAACUUCAGGAAACUGGGGCUAAUACCGGAUAGGAGCUCCUGCUGCAUGGUGGGGGUUGGAAAGUUUCGGCGGUUGGGGAUGGACUCGCGGCUUAUCAGCUUGUUGGUGGGGUAGUGGCUUACCAAGGCUUUGACGGGUAGCCGGCCUGAGAGGGUGACCGGCCACAUUGGGACUGAGAUACGGCCCAGACUCCUACGGGAGGAAGCAGUGGGGAAUAUUGCACAAUGGGUGGAAGCCGGAUGCAGCAACGCCGGGUGCGGGAUGACGGCCUUCGGGUUGUAAACCGCUUUCGCUCAUGACGAAGCUUUGUGUGACGGUAGUGGGUAAAGAAGCACCGGCUAACUACGUG